AAAGUGGAGAGUUUGAUCCUGGCUCAGAAUGAAUGCUGGCGGCGUGCCUAACACAUGCAAGUCGAACGAGAAAUUUCCCUGAGUAAUCAGAGAAAAAGUAAAGUGGCAGACGGGUGAGUAACAGGUGGGCAACCUGCCCUUAAAUUGGGGAUACCCCAUCGAAAGGUGGGCUAAUACCUAAUAAGACUACAACUACUCAGGUGGAUGUAGUAAAAGAUGGCUUUUAAAGAGCUUUCGUUUAAGGAGGGGCCCGCCUACCAUUAGCUAGUUGGUAGGGUAACGGCUUACCAAGGCGACGAUGGUUAGCUGGUCUGAGAGGAUGAUCAGCCACACUGGAACUGAGAUACGGUCCAGACUCCUACGGGAGGCAGCAGUGAGGAAUUUUGCGCAAUGGGGGAAACCCUGACGCAGCGACGCCGCGUGGGUGACGAAGGCCUUCGGGUCGUAAAGCUCUGUCGGGUGGAAAGAAAUAAAGUAGGGUUAAUAGCCUUACUUUUUGACGGUACCACCAAAGGAAGCACCGGCCAACUCCGUGCCAGCAGCCGCGGUAACACGGAGGGUGCAAGCGUUGUUCGGAAUUAUUGGGCGUAAAGGGCGUGUAGGCGGUUAAUUAAGUCAGAUGUGAAAGCCCUUGGCUCAACCAAGGAAGUGCAUCUGAAACUAUUUAACUUGAGUACGAUAAAGGGAAGUGGAAUUCCCAGUGUAGAGGUGAAAUUCGUAGAUAUUGGGAGGAACACCUGUGGCGAAGGCGACUUCCUGGAUCGAUACUGACGCUGAGACGCGAAAGCGUGGGGAGCAAACAGGAUUAGAUACCCUGGUAGUCCACGCCGUAAACGAUGGGCACUAGGUAUGGGAGGUAUUGACCCCUUCUGCG
rnacentral:ncRNA from 1 species